CCAUAAUAUAUAACUAAACUAUUGUUGUAUGUAAAGUAAAUAAGGUUUUUAAAAUGUUCAAGAAGCUUCAUUUAAAAUUAAAUUAAAAUGCAGAGCCCCCCGGACCGGCGGCCAGGACCCAGGCAGUGUGAGUGCCCCUGACAAUCAGCUUGCAUGCCGCCUUCGGCAAGCGUGCCAUAGGUUGCCUACCCCUGUUAUAUGCCAUGUGAA